GACGAACGCUGGCGGCGUGCCUAAUACAUGCAAGUCGAGCGCAGAAGGCUGGUUCUUGUACCAACUGGAUGAGCAGCGCACGGGUGAGUAACGCGUGGGGAAUCUGCCUUUGAGCGGGGGACAACAUUUGGAAACGAAUGCUAAUACCGCAUAAAAACUUUAAACACAAGUUUUAAGUUUGAAAGAUGCAAUUGCAUCAUUCAAACAUGAUUCCGCGUUGUAUUAGCUAGUUGGUGAGGUAAAGGCUCACCAAGGCGAUGUUACAUAGCCGAACUGAGAGGGUGGUCAGCCGCAUUGGGAGGGAGACACGGCCCAAACGCCUACAGGAAGCAGCAGGAGGGAAUCUUCAGCAAGGGGCGAGAGUCUGACCAAGAAGCGCCGCGUGAGUAUAGAGGGAUGUCGGGUCGGAGAACACUGUUUGUAGGGAAGAACGUUGGUGAGAGUGGAAAGCACAUUGAGUGACGGUAACUGCUCAGAAAGCGACGGCUAACUACGUG
rnacentral:rRNA from 1 species